GGUUAAGCGACUAAGCGUACACGGUGGAUGCCAGGUGAUGCUAAUGCGAACGUCGGUAAGGUGAUAUGAACCGUUAUAACCGGCGAUGUCCGAAUGGGGAAACCCAGUGCAAUUCGUUGCACUAUCGUUAACUGAAUACAUAGGUUAACGAGGCGAACCGGGGAACUGAAACAUCUAAGUACCCCGAGGAAAAGAAAUCAACCGAGAUUCCCCAGUAGCGGCGAGCGAACGGGGAGCAGCCCAGAGUCUGAAUCAGCUUGUGUGUUAGUGGAACGGUCUGGAAAGUCCGACGGUACAGGGUGAUAGUCCCGUACACCAAAAUGCACAGGCUGUGAACUCGAAGAGUAGGGCGGGACACGUGGUAUCCUGUCUGAAUAUGGGGGGACCAUCCUCCAAGGCUAAAUACUCCUGACUGACCGAUAGUGAACCAGUACCGUGAGGGAAAGGCGAAAAGAACCCCGGCGAGGGGAGUGAAAAGAACCUGAAACCGUGUACGUACAAGCAGUGGGAGCACCUUCGGGUGUGACUGCGUACCUUUGUAUAAUGGGUCAGCGACUUAUAUUCUGUAGCAAGGUUAACCGUAUAGGGAGCCGCAGGGAAACCGAGUCUUAACUGGGCGUUAAGUUGCAGGGUAUAGACCCGAAACCCGGUGAUCUAGCCAUGGGCAGGUUGAAGGUUGGGUAACACUAACUGGAGGACCGAACCGACUAAUGUUGAAAAAUUAGCGGAUGACUUGUGGCUGGGGUGAAAGGCCAAUCAAACCGGGAGAUAGCUGGUUCUCCCGAAAGCUAUUUAGGUAGCGCCUCGUGAACUCAUCUUCGGGGUAGAGCACUGUUUCGGCUAGGGGUCAUCCCGACUUACCAACCCGAUGCAAACUACGAAUACCGAAGAAUGUUAUCACGGGAGACACACGGCGGGUGCUAACGUCCGUCGUGAAGAGGGAAACAACCCAGACCGCCAGCUAAGGUCCCAAAGUCAUGGUUAAGUGGGAAACGAUGUGGGAAGGCACAGACAGCCGGAUGUUGGCUUAGAAGCAGCCAUCAUUUAAAGAAAGCGUAAUAGCUCACUGGUCGAGUCGGCCUGCGCGGAAGAUGUAACGGGGCUAAACCAUGCACCGAAGCUGCGGCAGCGACACUAUGUGUUGUUGGGUAGGGGAGCGUUCUGUAAGCCUGCGAAGGUGUGCUGUGAGGCAUGCUGGAGGUAUCAGAAGUGCGAAUGCUGACAUAAGUAACGAUAAAGCGGGUGAAAAGCCCGCUCGCCGGAAGACCAAGGGUUCCUGUCCAACGUUAAUCGGGGCAGGGUGAGUCGACCCUAAGGCGAGGCCGAAAGGCGUAGUCGAUGGGAAACAGGUUAAUAUUCCUGUACUUGGUGUUACUGCGAAGGGGACGGAGAAGGCUAUGUUAGCCGGGCGACGGUUGUCCCGGUUUAAGCAUGUAGGCUGGUUGUCCAGGCAAAUCCGGAUAAUCAAGGCUGAGGUGUGAUGACGAGGCACUACGGUGCUGAAGUAACAAAUGCCCUGCUUCCAGGAAAAGCCUCUAAGCAUCAGGUAACAUCAAAUCGUACCCCAAACCGACACAGGUGGUCAGGUAGAGAAUACCAAGGCGCUUGAGAGAACUCGGGUGAAGGAACUAGGCAAAAUGGUGCCGUAACUUCGGGAGAAGGCACGCUGGUGUGUAGGUGAAGUCCCUGCGGAUGGAGCUGAGACCAGUCGAAGAUACCAGCUGGCUGCAACUGUUUAUUAAAAACACAGCACUGUGCAAACACGAAAGUGGACGUAUACGGUGUGACGCCUGCCCGGUGCCGGAAGGUUAAUUGAUGGGGUUAUCCGUAAGGAGAAGCUCUUGAUCGAAGCCCCGGUAAACGGCGGCCGUAACUAUAACGGUCCUAAGGUAGCGAAAUUCCUUGUCGGGUAAGUUCCGACCUGCACGAAUGGCGUAAUGAUGGCCAGGCUGUCUCCACCCGAGACUCAGUGAAAUUGAACUCGCUGUGAAGAUGCAGUGUACCCGCGGCAAGACGGAAAGACCCCGUGAACCUUUACUAUAGCUUGACACUGAACAUUGAGCCUUGAUGUGUAGGAUAGGUGGGAGGCUUUGAAGCGUGGACGCCAGUCUGCGUGGAGCCAACCUUGAAAUACCACCCUUUAAUGUUUGAUGUUCUAACGUUGGCCCCUUACCGGGGUUGCGGACAGUGUCUGGUGGGUAGUUUGACUGGGGCGGUCUCCUCCCAAAGCGUAACGGAGGAGCACGAAGGUUAGCUAAUCCUGGUCGGACAUCAGGAGGUUAGUGCAAUGGCAUAAGCUAGCUUGACUGCGAGCGUGACGGCGCGAGCAGGUGCGAAAGCAGGUCAUAGUGAUCCGGUGGUUCUGAAUGGAAGGGCCAUCGCUCAACGGAUAAAAGGUACUCCGGGGAUAACAGGCUGAUACCGCCCAAGAGUUCAUAUCGACGGCGGUGUUUGGCACCUCGAUGUCGGCUCAUCACAUCCUGGGGCUGAAGUAGGUCCCAAGGGUAUGGCUGUUCGCCAUUUAAAGUGGUACGCGAGCUGGGUUUAGAACGUCGUGAGACAGUUCGGUCCCUAUCUGCCGUGGGCGCUGGAGAAUUGAGGGGGGCUGCUCCUAGUACGAGAGGACCGGAGUGGACGCAUCACUGGUGUUCGGGUUGUCAUGCCAAUGGCACUGCCCGGUAGCUAAAUGCGGAAGAGAUAAGUGCUGAAAGCAUCUAAGCACGAAACUUGCCCCGAGAUGAGUUCUCCCUGAGACUUUAAGUCUCCUGAAGGAACGUUGAAGACGAUGACGUUGAUAGGCCGGGUGUGUAAGCGCAGCGAUGCGUUGAGCUAACCGGUACUAAUGAACCGUGAGGCUUAACCUUACAACGCCGAAG
rnacentral:rRNA from 1 species